UCCACGCCGUAAACGAUGGGCACUAAGUGUCGGCGGUUUACCGUCGGUGCCGCAGCUAACGCAGUAAGUGCCCCGCCUGGGGAGUACGGCCACAAGGUUGAAACUCAAAGGAAUUGACGGGGGCCCGCACAAGCGGUGGAGCAUGUGGUUUAAUUCGACGCAACGCGAAGAACUUUACCCAGGUUAGACACGCUCGUAGUAAGACCCUGAGAGGGGAAUGAUCCUGAAAGGGA
rnacentral:rRNA from 1 species